CAAACCUUGCCAACAGCUUCAAAAAAAGCUGUAGGUAUGCAUCAUAGCUUCUGUGAUCUCAGAACCGUUUCUCUGACCAGCAAAAGAAGAGAUGAAAAUGCUCCUCUUGACCUCUAUCUGCACUACACCAGAAACGUCAUUGAGCCAGUUUCUUCUAAGGAGAUAACAGAAACUUUCUAUGCAAGGCUGUGGGGGGCUGGUAAUAUAAGGCUAGGAGGAUAAAGCUCCUUACUAAUAAACAAGCUGACAUUGAAUA
rnacentral:lncRNA from 1 species